rnacentral:lncRNA from 1 species
AAUCCAAAAGUCAAGCUAUCAGAACAUAAACGGUGUCGGAGAGAAUGCCGGCAUGAUUGCUUGAAUUGGAGCUCGCCUGAAAAAAUUGAACCAGACACACAAUCAAAUAACCACAACACAAAUUAAUAGCUUAACACCACCGAAAGGCUAGUAUGUGUUUGGUAUAUAGAGAGAGAGAAUUACGCAUAGUCGUCGGACCGGCGGUUUCGGACGUGAGAUCUUGGCGUCGGCGAAACUUACCGCUUCAGAUUUCUUUCGGAUCUAGCGACGGCAGCUCGAUUACCUCUCUCCACCACCACGACGGCGUUGUCCUCGGAAAUCGCGUUGAGAGAAGGCCGCCAAUCUGCGGCAGGGCCGGAUUUAGACGCUGCCGUUCUCCAUCGUUUACUGCUGCGGUAGUGGCGAUUUUCCGGCGGAAUUGAGGGUGGAGCAGUAGGCACGAGGGAUCUCGUAUCGUCGGCGGCCGGCGGCAACGAUGAAGUUUUGUAGAAGGAACGACAUGGAGUACAACAUGUGACGAAUUCUAAAAGGAACUUCAUGUUAUACGGUUAAAGGGGUAAGAGGAAUCUAGCAUUGAUGAAUAUGCAUUCGAUCCCUCCCUAGUCCCUAGUCCCUAGUCCCUAGUCCCUCCCGAACGAGCGAUUGUCUUCAAUCUCUUUUUUGUCGACAGAAAGUGAGCCUUUUAUCCUUAUCUCAAAUACUAGUAGUCGUUUUUUUUUUAUUAUUAUUAUUUAAUUUAAU